rnacentral:rRNA from 1 species
GACGAGUCCUUUACUGACGCUAAAGCUCGAAAGUGCGGGUAUCGAACAGGAUUAGAUACCCUGGUAGUCCGCACGGUAAACGAUGGAUGCCCGCUGUUGGCGAUACAUUGUCAGCGGCCAAGCGAAAGCGUUAAGCAUCCCACCUGGGGAGUACGCCGGCAACGGUGAAACUCAAAGGAAUUGAUGGGGGCCCGCACAAGCGGAGGAACAUGUGGUUUAAUUCGAUGAUACGCGAGGAACCUUACCCGGGCUUGAACUGCCAGCGAACGAUACAGAGAUGUUGAGGCCCUUAGGGGCGCUGGUGGAGGUGCUGCAUGGUUGUCGUCAGCUCGUGCCGUGAGGUGUCGGCUUAAGUGCCAUAACGAGCGCAACCCCUUUCUUCAGUUGCCAUCAGGUUAUGCUGGGCACUCUGGAGACACUGCCGCCGUAAGGUGUGAGGAAGGUGGGGAUGACGUCAAAUCAGCACGGCCCUUACGUCCGGGGCUACACACGUGUUACAAUGGGUGAUACAGAGAGUCAGUGCAUGGCAAUAUGCAUUCAAUCAUGAAAGUCAUCCUCAGUUCGGAUUGGGGUCUGCAACCCGACCCCAUGAAGCUGGAUU